AUUAUGGUUAUAAUGGGACCCUGUAGGUCCAGCAGAGUAGUCCACAGGAGGGAGUCACCCUCAGUAUCUGUGUAUAGCAGGGCACUGUAAGAACAGCAGCUCAAUCAGUUGGUAGGGGUACCCUCUUUUAUGGGAAUACCCAGAUGCUGCAGGUCCAGCAGUGCAGACUGUAGGAGGGGUUCCCCCUCGGUAUGAUGAUAACAGGACAUUGCCGGAGCAUUAGUGUAGGAAGCAGGAGGGGGUCACCCUCAGCAUUAAUCCUACAGGAUGCCUUAGAGCCAGCCAGGGUACUCCUUGGUAGCCAUGUUGCCAGAGGGAGGGGGUCACCCAGCCCACAAUGGUGUCACACGUCCAUUAUUAUGGUCCAGUAGCGGCUAGAGCCCCAGAAAUAUGGACAGGGGGGGUCACCCCCCCGUAAUAACAGGGCUGUAUGUGGGGCCAGUUAGCCCCCCUGAGGGGUAGAAGGGUCAAUACAGCUAGAAGCUGACUCACAUCUACAGACCACUCAGGUAUUAUAUUAGGAUAUACUUUUGAAGUGUAUGUAUAGUGGAAAAAUUUAAGUCCCUUGCAGAAAGGGCAGCAAAUCCUAGGCAGGGGAGCUAGGUGCUGAAAAACAGACCAUUUACAUUUUUGAGAAAAUGACUGAACGUUAAGAGAAAGACUUGAUUAGCAUAUAUCACAUGUGGCAUAGUCUUGAUAAACAAUGAUUUUGUAAACAAUGAUUUUUUAUUUGAGCAGUAACAUGCCCCUUUAAAUCUGAGAUUCACAUUUAAUUAGUAAUAAAAGCAUGACAAGUCUACUGCUAAGAUAGAGAACAUAGUCACAUUGCAUCAGACAUCAUAGUAAGCUGCAGUUGUGGGCUGUGAGAGUGCCUGCUAUCCAGGAUCUGUUACAUAUGCAGCAUGUGAGACAGGCACAGUAAGUAGG